rnacentral:rRNA from 1 species
CCUACGGGUGGCAGCAGUGAGGAAUAUUGGUCAAUGGACGAGAGUCUGAACCAGCCAAGUAGCGUGAAGGAUGACUGCCCUAUGGGUUGUAAACUUCUUUUAUAUGGGAAUAAAAUGUUCCACGUGUGGGAUUUUGUAUGUACCAUAUGAAUAAGGAUCGGCUAACUCCGUGCCAGCAGCCGCGGUAAUACGGAGGAUCCGAGCGUUAUCCGGAUUUAUUGGGUUUAAAGGGAGCGUAGGUGGAUUGUUAAGUCAGUUGUGAAAGUUUGCGGCUCAACCGUAAAAUUGCAGUUGAACAUGGCAGUCUUGAGUACAGUAGAGGUGGGCGGAAUUCGUGGUGUAGCGGUGAAAUGCUUAGAUAUCACGAAGAACUCCGAUUGCGAAGGCAGUUCACUGGACUGCAACUGACACUGAGGCUCGAAAGUGUGGGUAUCAAACAGGAUUAGAUACCCUUGUAGUC